rnacentral:rRNA from 1 species
GAUGAACGCUGACGGCAUGCUUAACACAUGCAAGUCGACCUGAAUUUGGGUUCUUUACUUCGGUUUGGGUGUCGGACGGGUGAGUAACGCGUAAAGAACUUGCCUCCCAGCUAGUGACAACAUUUGGAAACGCUUGCUAAUAUCUCAUAUUAUGAUAAUAGCUCCUCCUUUAGUUAUGAAAGCUAUAGGCGCUGUGAGAGAGCUUUGCGUCUCAUCAGCUAGUUGGUGAGGUAACGGCUCACCAAGGCGAGGAUGGGUAGCCGGCCUGAGAGGGUGAUCGGCCAAAAGGGAACUAGGAAAGGGCCAGUACUCCUACGGGGGGAAGCGGUGGGAAAAAUUGGAAAAGGGACCGAGAGUGUGAUACAGCAAUUCUGUGUGGAAGAAGAAGUUUUUGGGAAUGAAAAGUGUUUUCAGUUGAGAAGGAGCAAAUGACGGUACAAACAGAAGAAGUAACGGCUAAAUACGUG